rnacentral:rRNA from 1 species
UGGGGAAUAUUGGACAAUGGGGGCAACCCUGAUCCAGCCAUGCCGCGUGAGUGAUGAAGGCCCUAGGGUUGUAAAGCUCUUUUGUGCGGGAAGAUAAUGACGGUACCGCAAGAAUAAGCCCCGGCUAACUUCGUGCCAGCAGCCGCGGUAAUACGAAGGGGGCUAGCGUUGCUCGGAAUCACUGGGCGUAAAGGGUGCGUAGGCGGGUUUCUAAGUCAGAGGUGAAAAGCCUGGAGCUCAACUCCAGAACUGCCUUUGAUACUGGAAGUCUUGAGUAUGGCAGAGGUGAGUGGAACUGCGAGUGUAGAGGUGAAAUUCGUAGAUAUUCGCAAGAACACCAGUGGCGAAGGCGGCUCACUGGGCCAUUACUGACGCUGAGGCACGAAAGCGUGGGGAGCAAAACAGGAUUAGAUACCCUGGUAGUCCACGCCGUAAACGAUGAAUGCCAGCCGUUAGUGGGUUUUACUCACUAGUGGCGCAGCUAACGCUUUAAGCAUUCCGCCUGGGGAGUACGGUCGCAAGAUUAAAAACUU